rnacentral:rRNA from 1 species
UACGGAGGGUGCAAGCGUUGCUCGGAAUCACUGGGCGUAAAGGGUGCGUGAGGCGGGUCUUUAAGUCAGGGGUGGAAAUCCUGGAGCUCAACUCCAGAACUGCCUUUGAUACUGAAGAUCUUGAGUUCGGGAGAGGUGAGUGGAACUGCGAGUGUAGAGGUGAAAUUCGUAGAUAUUCGCAAGAACACCUAUGGCGAAGGCAGCUCUCUGGGACGGUACU